rnacentral:lncRNA from 1 species
AAGUAUUCAGCUACAGAAAGUGUGUGAGGUUCCAGUGGCAGUGUCUGCCUAAAAGCAGAGCUGCCCCCAUAAACACAGGUGGGGCACCAAUCUCUGGCAGGUAUGCUGUUCCAGGGAAGCAGCCCACAGGUUCACCAGUGACACUGCAGUUGGGAUUAUGCCCACAGAAUCAACAUCUGAGCUUCUAAUUUUCUAAGGAUUCGUUUUGUUAUCUUCUCCUUGACCCAAAGUCAGCCCUCUCUUUUACAGAAUCACAGGCAGGGACUUGUCUGUGAAGCCAGCUCCUGAUGGGCACAGCUGUUGCAACUGCUGAAGGUUCCUCUGUUCCCCCACUUUGCUGCGCACAACACUGCUCUGUUUUCUUCUUAUUUUGAUAGAAGAGACAUUUCAGCUCUGCAAGUGAGAAUAUGGAGGAAUGCAGCUCGCAGGCAAGCUGAACCAAUACAACAGAAUGACACAGGGACAUGGCUACUGACUGAGCCCAACUGACUGAUCUACUCAGUGCUCAUCUGUGGGCUGAGGAGAUGAAGACAAGUACUAGAGAAGUGGAAGAUUGGAGGUCUCAUCUCUGUCCACGUGCCAGAGCCCAGACCUGCCUUGUAUGGUAUGUUAGAGGCCUCAUUGAAGAAGAAAUACACUACUGUGAAGUAAUGUGUGGGCAAAACAUUCAUUUCUCCUUUGGCUUCCAGUCUUUAUCAAAAUUCCUAUACUCACUACUGUCUCUCAUCUAGGUCUGGCAUUCCCCUAUUUAUACUGUGUGCACUUCUAAACACCACAUUAUCUAGAUAGAAAAAGAGCAAUGUCAAAUUAACCUCCAGACCUGCCUGUUCACUAAUCCACAGAGCAGCUGUUACUCCUCACUUGCAGCUCAUUGAAGCUCCCUGUGUUAUUUCUUGGCAGUUUUCAUCUCCUGAAAAGUUCCUGAGUACACAAAGCCCACACUGGCACCAUCCCUAGAUAUCAUAUAAAAUGCGCUCAUUUACUCCAGCUGCUGAUUUGGCCCUCAUAUUCUUGGUUUAGAUCCCACUCCAUAUGUUCCCUGUAGAAGAAUGUUUUGGAGCUUUUUUUGCUUCUUAGAAACCCACUUGUUUCAGACUCUGAAACACGAGGAACAACAUAUAAGAUCAGAAGAUCCUUGACUCCAGCAGUGACCUCCUCAUUGACUUUGAGAGGGAAACAACCAGCUUUCACAUUGAACAUGAUCUGUGUAAGAAGCAGUUAUUUGUGGAGAAAAUGAAGAAUCACGUCCUUGACACCAAUUACUCCAGCAAACUAACAGCAUAUCUGGGAUAAUUUCAAGGCUUACCAUGUAUGUGGACAAGUGCAUGAACAAAUUUUUGUCCUAGCCUGAAAUAUUUACCUGUGCCAGUAAAUACAGAGGUCGCCUAAGGUGCAGAGAGUCCUGGUAUAAAGGAAAGGAGUUCAACUAUUCAGUGCAAUAUUAAAAACUAGAUAGCAGAAAAAAUGUUCCUCUAUGUCACACUAGAAGUCAGAUUUGCUCUAAUCGUAAUCUUACUCAAGUCAGUUUGCUUUUUUAUGGUGUAAGGGACAAUUGUUUAUUUUAUAUUAAAUUCAGAUCUCAGCUGUGGAGCAGUGAUAGAGAGUAUAAUGUCUGAAAACUCAGUUGCAUUUAAAAACAAAGAUUAUGGCUUCUUUAACCUUCAGAAACUAUAUUCUAUUAUAAAACCAUGUUAGUUACCUGCUGUAAAUAUACUAAAAAUCAACAUCAGAUAAAUACAAGAUGCAUCAAAAGAUUUAAGGCACCUGUUGUGUAUUUAGAAGAAUUAUAUCUUGUUUAUGGUACAGUAUAAAAUGCACAGCUGAUUUAUAUAACAGCUAGUCUAUUGCAGGGGAAAUCUCAUUUCAAUCAUAAAUGGCAGAAGUUGAUUUAAGAAUUCAUUCUUUAAUGGGUCUGCAAUGUUCAAAUUUAAACUCAUUCAAUUCAUCAACAAAAUAUUCAAUAUGGAGCACAGGAAACUCAUUUAGGCAAACAGCGACUUUUAAUAUAAAUUUUCCAGGAGAUUUCUUCAUUGAUUCAGCAGUUUAGUGCAAAAUGAUUUGUGCGAUACAUUCUCAAGGAUCAAUGCAGGCCAAGUCAAUGGCUAAUAUAAAACAAUCAUCCCACCGACUACAGAGAACGUGUCAAUGAACUUUGACUUCACAUUGAACUGCUCUGUGGAAAGCAGAAGGAAGUCUGAUCAAAAUUAAUCGUGACUUCUCUCCCUUAUCUUUACCCAUUCUCCAUUGUGAUUGUUUGUAUUGCAACAUAACUUGGAAACUUCAUUCAGGACCAGAGCCCUGUAGCAUUGGGUUCUGCAGAAACACGUGACAAUCCCACCUUGCCCUUAAAAAUUGAUCUCAUUCUCCUCACUUCUCAUAGUGUGUGCCAACAUCUCAUGGAAAUGUGCAAAUUACAAGAGUCCAAGCCACUAUAGAAUGAACCACAGAACUUCUGUGAGGCUCAUGAGACUCAAAUCUCCUUUGGACAAGGCAAAAAUAUGGGGACUCUAAUAGUGAGUCAGCAAGGUGCAUCUUCAUUCUUUGUGUAGUUAGGGGUCUCCCCCUGAGGGGUCUUGGAGGUCAUUUUGCAGGACCAAGGCCUAAGAGCAUGUUCAGGCAAUGGAAGCAGGAAUGGUAGCCUGGGGAGAAUCUGGACAUGGCACUGAAGUCAAGGCACUGAUGGAACUAGGUGAUGGACAUGAAAAAAAAACCAACAAAAGCACAAAACAAGAAGGAAUUCUAUAAGUAUAUUGGUCAGAAGAGGCAAAAGAGAAAGGGAGAAAUGAAUAGCUGGGAAAAUGUAGGUCAGUGAGCCUCACCUCUGGGCCUAGGAAGAUCAUGGAGCAGAUCCUCCUGGAAGAGGCGUUAAGGCACAUGUGAGACAAGUAGGUGACCUGAGACACCCAGCAUGGCUACACCAAAGGCAGAUUGUACCCAACCAAACUGAUGGCCUUCUAAAAUGCUGUGACAGCAUCAGUGGGCAAAAGAAGGGCAACUGCUGUUGUCUACCAAGACAUGUGCAAGGAUUUUGAAGUGGUCCCCCACAUUCCCCUAAAUCUAAAUUGAAGAAACAUGGAUUUGAAGGCUGGACUAUUCAGAAGAUAAACAAUUGGUUGGGUGGAUGCAGUCAGAGGGUUGUGGUAGAUGGAUUUAUGACUAGGUGGAGGCCAGUCAUGAGUGGUGUUCCUCAGGGCUCUGUCCUGACACCAGUGCUCUUCAAGAUCUUUAUCAAUAACAUAGUGGGAUCAAGUGUACCUUCAGCAAGUUUGCUGAUGACACCAAGAUGAGUGGUGCAAUUGACACAAUAAAAGGAAGAGAUGCCAUUCAGAGGGAUCUGGACAGGCUUGAAAAGUGGUCCCAUGCAAACCUAAUGAGGUUCACCAAGGCCAAGUGCAAGGUUCUCAAGAAUUUCAAGCCAAAGCCUUCACUCAGUUUCAACUAGAAUUAGGUACAUUGGACUUUACCACAAGUUGUCUGGAAUUUGCAGCCUUCCCAGUGAAUUCAAUGGAGUUUCAGUCUUAUGACAUUUUCUUACCCAGGGAAAAUUUCUUGAUUAGCUUUCUUUUUUUCAGAGUUGCUGGGAUUGCAACUGAUCUGAAAAUCAGCCUUUAUUAUCCAUCAAAAGACAACAAAGCUUUGUCAGACAGAAUUUUGGAGCUUCAUGACCACUGAAAGGAUCCCAACUAUCUGAUAAAAAAGGGGCUCAAGUAGUUUUGUAAUAAGUAUAUUACUUAAUGUUUGACACUGCAACUAGAAGCAUGCGAAAUCUUUUCUGCUUCAGUGAUCAAGAAUAAUCAAGGAAGUUAAAUCGCAAAAUUUAUUAUCAAGCUGCUAAUCCUUGGAGUUUUGUUUUGUUUUUGCUGUGUUUCAAGGAAGAAGUUACCAAAACUGUUAACUUAGUUUUCCCAUGUUUCCUUAACUCAGGCUGCAAAUACUAGUACGAAAUGUUUACAUGCAAACCUUACUGUAAUGAAAAUGAAAGAAUAUAUUGAUUUAAUUUCCAAAUUAUUAAUCAUCUUCACAGCUGAACAAAAAUAUUGUAUUGCUCAGCUCAAGCAAAUCCUAACAUCUUUGCCUCUGGCUAUGAGUCCAAGAACUGAUGAAGGACGAAAUAGUAAUAUAUGUACUGUAUGUGUCUGUGGAAGAUCAGCAUUCUUAGAGAAUAAACUUACAAGCUGUGCAUCAAAAAUAAUAAUAAUAAUAAUAAUAAUAAAUUUGUAAUAUUCAGGUGAAUGAAAAAUCACAGAGGAACAAAGUAAGUAAAGGAUGAUCUGUCUUCAAGACAAAAAAUUUCCAUGCAAACUCACUAAGAGAGUGAAACAGAAAUAGCACAGGAUAUAGCAAUACAACAAAUAAUGGCCCCAUUAGAGAUAGUGCCUCGGGAAAUUUGACUUUUUAAAGUAUUUUUCCAGUGUAUCGGUCUUCUUGCAGAAACAGACGUUGAUAACCAAGGGGAAUGGAUGGCCAGACUGCAGAAGAGGAUAUCAGUUAGAGGACUGUGCAAACGAUACGGAGCGUUGGGUUUGUAUAGUAGAACUAGAAAUAUAAGAUAGUGAGCAGCAUGCCAGAUCAGCUUGCUAGAUUUUGGAAGACUCCAAAGUGUUAUAAUGAUAGAAGCUGCAGUGUGCACAACUCAAGGGAGAGUCUGUCAACUGCAAGUGCCCAGAUCCCACAGAAUCACUGAGCUACCUGGUUUUCAGGGAACUAAAUCAUUUGUAUAAUGUCAAAAAUUAAUAGCACAAAAGAAAAAAAUACAUAUGAAUGGCACAAACUCUGUUAAAGCGGUCUGAUCUCUCAUAAUAUUUUUUUUAUUACGAGGUAAGAAAAACAGAAACAACACUAAAAACUUAUUCAGUAAUUUCAAAAUUUGACCUGAAUUUGACCUCAGACUGAACUAAGAAUGAACUGAUAAACACUUACACCUAUUAAGUUACAGCAAAAUCACCAGAUGAUGUUUGGUUUUUUUUCUGAACAUUUUUUCAGUCUUACCCAUAGCCCCAGAUUUUUGGGUCAGAUCUUGGUUGGAGAUAUGCCUGCACUGCCAAUCAGAAUUUGGGUAUCAUAGAAUGACUGGGGUUGGAAGAGACCUCAAGAUCACCCAGUUCCACUGUGUGCAAAGUUGCCAACCACAAAAUCAGGCACUAUAUCAGGCUGCCCAGGGCUCCAUCCAACUCGGCCUUUAGCAGUUCCAGGAAUUGGAAUCGCAGCUUCUCUGGGCAACCUCUGCUAAGGCUUCACAACAUCAUGGUAAUCACUAUCCAGGACAACAAAUACGUUGAACUCCUUCAACGUGAAAUGGAGCAAGUAUCAACAUUUUGUAAUAAGGUGCUAACAAUAGUUUAUGAUUAUUUGCUGCAAAUUGUCUAACCCCUAGAGGCAGUUACCACACUGUCCUCAAGAGUUUGGCAAUGGCACAGCCUCAGUUCCUCAGUUUACCCAUCUUUUCUGCCUGUCAGAGGCCAGUUGUCUAAUCUUAUCUUCUGCUUUCUUAGUAAGCCUAAUGCUGUAGGAGUGAGACAGAAUUACAAACUGAUGGAUAGAUUUACAAACUGAUAAGUUUUCCUGAUGGUGAAGAGAUGAUGAUGCAUGUCCGUACUCCUGGGCAGCUCUGUAGCUAUGCCAGGGACUUGACACUCUGCUCUAGCAGAAGAUUUUGGGGCUUUUUCUUUUCCCAUGAUAGAAGACGACUGUUUCUGUUCUCUCUGCAGCCUUAGGCCUCCACCACCACUCUAACUUCAUCCCUGGAAGUGUUCAAGAAACAUGAAUAUUAGGCACUGAGGAACAUGGUUAGUGAUCAUGGUGGAGAUGGCUGGGCUAGAGGAUCUUAGUGGUCUUUUCCAACUUUAAUGAUUCUUUUUAUGAUUAUGAAUACAUCAUAGUGAUGUAUUUUCUUUCUCUACAUAAGAACUAUGUCCUUAUUUUCUAAUCAGUUAAAAGAUAGAAGAGUAAUGGCUUUUGAAAUACACAUGGUAUACAAAAAUCUCCUGGCCAGGUCUUUGAUGGACAUCCAUAUGGUUCAACAGAGAUGAACAUGUUGGUAGAGCAUGUAGACUCUGACAGGACAUCCCGAUUCUAUUAAAAUUCCUGUCCUUUGAAAACCUAUCUCCAAAAUGAUUCUCACCCAAGAGCAAAGGAGAUUCAAGUUGGAUAUUAGAAAAAAUUUCAUCUCUGAAAGGGUAGUCAGGUGCUGAAAUGGGCUGCCCAGGGAGACAGUUGAAUCACCAUUCCUGGAGGUGUCCAAUAAAUGUUUAGAUGUUGUACUAAGGGACAUGGCUUAGUGGGGAAGUAUUGGUGGUAAGUGGACAGUUGGACUGGAUGAUCUUGGGGAUCUCUUCCAACCUUGGUGAUUCAGUGAUUUGGUGAUUUUGCUAGACUGUGUAGGAACAGACUGGCUAUGAAGCAUUUACAGUUUAAAUACAGGGAUCAGGAUAUUAUACCUCCAAAGAUGAAGAUCUGAAAGUUAAUGAUCCAGAUUUCUCGUGUUGUGUUAGGGAUUGUUUCCAAGUUGCAAGGUUGAAUUCUGUGGCAACCCGAAGGGCAAGCAGUUACUCCAUUGUGCUUCAUAUAGAAGCAUCCAACCAGACUGAUGUUACCACAGACACGAGUAUAGGCCAAAGAUAAGUUUUGAUGGCAGUUACAGAUUUCCAGCUCCACUGAUUAUCAUGUUCCAUCUAUUAAUUUCAACAAUAUGGAAAAAGAUACAAACUUUGCAAAUUGUGCAACUAUACACACUGAAAAAAAAUGUGUCUUUUAAAAUUCAGCCACCUGUGGGAAAGGAAUCAGAAGUAAUUCAACAGCAAAAACAAACAAACAAACAAACAAAAAACAUGUACAUCAAUAUAGCACAAAAAAUGAAUAAUCCCAUUCUCUGCAAAUUGGCUUGCCCCUUGUACUGUGUGGAUAUGAAAAGCAGUUGAAACCUCACUUUCAUCAGCACAUUAUACAAGUACUCUCUUAUCUAGUGAGUGCCCUGUCCUCUAACUGCAAUUCUUUAAUGAACAGGAGAUGAAAUUCACAAUGAGGUCACAGGAACUGGAAGGUGGAACAACAUUUAACUGUGUUCUUAUAUGACAUCUCUGUUAUUACCAAAAGGGGAACAGUGAAAUCAAAUGGGAAAUUGAAGAGGAUAGAGGCAGGAGAGGGAAUAGUCCACAACAAACUGUGAAUCUUUACUUUUCCGCUUUAAAUGAAUGAAACCAUAAACUUUAAUAGCGUUGGUGAAUGUGCCUUAUCAUUGACUGAAAAUCAGAUUUGGUAUCGAUUUGAUUUUUGGAAUAUUACUCAAUCAAGCACACUUAACUGCAGAAAUUUAGUAUUUUUAUAUCUUAAAAAAAUCAGUGCAAGCAAAUCUGCCAAGCCUCCCCCCUGGCUACAAGUCUAACAACUGUUGAAGGACAAAAGAUAAUAUAUGUGAAUACCAUUGCCAUGGUUCACUGGGUUAAAACAAACGGCCCCCAUUUGACCUUUAAAUUGAAGGGUUUCCCUUUAUAUCACUAGAGGCAAAAUGCAUGGACAUGAGUACAACAACAACAAAAAGGGGACUUGUGUAGCUGAGUUGUAUUUGAUUUGUGAGAUUUUUUAUUCGUUUUUAAGAGGAUAUUUUUUCAUUUCCUUUGGAGGGGAGUAAACCCAAAAGUCAAAUUGAUGAAGAGAAAUGGAAUCUGAAUCUGUCCUGGGUUACAUUCACUGCUGGUUGGUUGGUCACCCUGGGGGAAAUGAUAUGUGUGCAGCUGGGAUGAUGAAUUGGGUUUGUUUAAGUCAUCAUUACAUUGUACUUUUUUAUGGACCUUAGUAUUUAUAACACUUAAAGUUGAUUGAGUAAUGUGGGUUGCCUUGGCAUCCCCGCUGGUCAGCAGGGGUGACGGGCCUUGACAGCAAACAUGAAGAUAUUACUGCUCCAAGACUGGUCCAGGAUGUCGGGGUAAUCUUAAGCAAUCUGCUGCUUGCUCUUGUGUGUAAUGCACUGUUGAAAACUUUCCCUGUAAGUGCAUUUGAGUGCAUAUAUAUAGGCUUCUGUAUAUGUAUUUGGUGAAAAGCUCAUCCUACUUGGAAGUAAUACCAGAAAGCAGAUGCUUUAACUGAAUUAAUUUUUCACUUUGAAGCAAAAUUUGAGCUUAAAAAUAACAUCCUUAUAAAUCGGAAACAUAGUUGUUAAUAUAUGUAAUAAAUUCAUUCCUUUAGGUUAGUUUCCCUAUUUCUAAUGAACAGCAUUCAGCUUUGCAUAACCAUCAGGAGAAAAUAUAUGUCUCAGGAGCAAAAUGUGUUUACCUGCCUCUCCUUGACAGGAACAACAAUGUUAGACUCAUUAUCUUUAAGCCACCCUCCCAAAAUAAUGAACUCCAGGCAAAUGGGGCUGUGCAAGCAUCCAAAAAGUGAAGUUAGGAUGAAACUCUCAGCUAAGAGAGAUGGGCACUGCUCCAAUAUGAACAUAUAUUCAUUUGUAUCAUGUUUGAAAGCAAUAUGUUACAGCAGUGUACAUUACUACUUGUGAUUAUUAUCAACAUCAGCAUUUUACUGUAAAUAACAGAACAUGUUGAAUAUCUAAACCAAAAGGCAAAUCCUGAAAUUGUUUGUAGAUCUGGAUUUGACUGGGCAGCAUCGGUAGCAUGAACAAAGUCUCAAUUUAUCUAUAUGUGUACAAUCAGUAUUGUCCCUCCAGCAUGUGUGCUUAUGCAGGCAGACACACGUGAGUACAUACAGACAGAUGUGUCUGCACGUAUAAACCUUAACAUGGAAAAGCUCAGUGCUUGAAGAAUGGUAAAUGCCACAGCUAAGACACCCUGAUCAUUAGCACAUCAUGACGCAGUUUUCAGUAAUAGCUGAAUUUUCCCAGCAGCUCUGCCCCAUUCAAGAGAAAAGGAGUAGUGAGAAACUAGUCAGUAUCAUUUUUUAUUGUCUGUGGGUGACUCUGUGAUUAGUUUACUACACAUUAUCCUCAUCUCGUCUUUAAGAAAGAAUUACAACCUUGCUUGCCCACAUGUAGAGUUGUUUGAAAAUAUGAGACCUGAAAUUCUUCCUAUUGCAGAGGACGUUGAAGUGGAAUUUUACCUGGAACAUAAAGCAGAAGAGUCUCUUCUUACCUAGUUUUCCAUGCAUGUUUCCUAUCUCCACAUGCCUAAGACAAGAUCCGGUUUGAGGUCUUCUGUUACCCUUUCACCCACCUUCCUGGCUAUGUGUUCUCUACUGCUCUCUGCUCCCAUAUGGUUCAUCUUAAAUGAGAAAAAAAGGUCAUCAGAUGAGCUCCUAGAGUUAUCAGCACAUCCUAGGAGACUGCCUUCUAGGGAGGAACUGCAUUAAUACUCAUAGUUCCAUCUUUGUUAACAUUUGUUUUUUUCAACCUUACUAUCUUUCCAGUACUCAACUGUAUCAUGCAAUUUUAAAUGCUUUUCUUUCAAAGCAAGAGUUGCAUCACAAGGAAUCCCCGUGUCACACAAAUUUCCCAUUAUUUUACACUUAUUAGCACUUUGACUACUUUAGCUGAGAUGUUCCUAAAAUUUGUAGCCAGGAGAGAUACCUAGCAGGGAAAUUUUCAAUUGGACCAGUUCAUAUUAAAUAGGAAAAAAAAAAAAGUAGGAAAUAUAAAGUAAGGUCUUGUUAUAAGAACUUUUAGGGAAUCUUAGAGAAAGGAAAAUGAAAUACCAGUGCUAUUCGGUAUUUGUAUUUCCUGUAGUUACACACACCACAAAUACACCAGUAGAGACUCAGAGUUUUUGCUUGUUCCUGUCCUAAAACAAAGACCAGAUGUGGAAGUCAAACCUUAUUCUUAUUGUUCUGUUCUGAGAGGGCACACAUUUGACUCAUUAUGGGUCAAAUGGUGCUUUUAUUUACAUCCACAUCAAUUUUAAGGAACUAUGCUAAUUAUAGGAGAGGUUGCUAUGUCUGAGUAUCAUUUGUUUUAGCAAUAAUCAAAAAGGAUAUGUGCUGCUACCCAAUGGAUUGCCAUAAAAAAAAAAAUUCCUUUCUUGAAGGAAUAGCACAAGUGUGACAAGGAAAUGUUCACUGAUACAUCUUUUACUAAUGGGCCCUACAAUGAAAACAAGAGAGAGUAAAGAUAAUGAAAUUUUUCAAUAGGCCAGCACCUGUGCAGAGCCCCUUCUGUUUUUUCCCACCUCACUGAUGGCAAAAAAAAAAAAAAAAAAAAAAAAAAAAAAAAAAAAAAAAAAAAAAAAGCCAACAAAACAACAGAACCACAGAUAGUCAAGAUCACCCCUUCCUUUGCUUUUCGUUGGGUAUGAACAGCAAAAAGAAGCUAUGUUGGCCAUAAACAAUGAGUGAAACUGCAUUAAUGGUAUGCUACAGAUAACACAAGCAAAAUUCAGGAGGAGCUGGCUAACACAUACACACCCCUUUUUGUGUUUUUUUUGUAGGCUUCAUUAAUUGUCAUCUGCUGUGUGAAAUGCAAAUCUAAUUGAAAUUUCUCACUAAUCAAGUGCAUCCUUCUAAUGAAGGCGUAUGACAGUUGUGUUCUGUGCAAAGUGCUACCUAAUGUGAAAUUCAAGUAAACACUUUAAUUACUUUAAAAGCCUAUUAAGGCAGAUUUUUAAGUGCAGUAUGUGGCCAUUUGCAUUGUCACCCAAUUUGUACACAGGCGGAACUACAAACACAUAUUCAGUGUGCAGAUGCAAAUUCAGUGCUUAACGAACCAGGUCCUGAAAAUGAUUCUUAACUGACUGGCCAGCGCACGGAUCAAUAAUAAGGCCCAGGAAGCCCUUCAAUCCUGUAUUGUCAUUUCAAAUCCAAGCUAUAAGUGCUCAUCUACAAGGGCUGUAAUUUAUUGCUUUAUUAAAAUUUUGUGGGAGUGAUAAAUCUACCAUCUGAACACAGAGGGUCAGAUGCAGAUGCCCUGUUUGACUUUUCUCCUGUGCUCACUAUGAUGGCUUUGCUGGGCUAUGCCGUACGCUUGGAUACUCUGAUGUUGCAGCUAUGUCUGGAGAUGAGUAUAUUCUCCACCCCCUCAAUGGAUGGAGAGAACUGCUCCCUGCAGCACUUCUGAUAGUUUUUGAUGUGUCCCAUCCAUAGAGAUGAUCAAGGUCAGGUUGGAUGGGCACUGGGCAGCCUGAUCUGGUGGGAGGCAACCAGCCCAUGGCAGGGGUUGGAAGUGGGUGAUCUUUAAGGUCCCUUCCAACUUAAACCAUUCCAUGAUUCUGUACUACAAGAUCCUUCCUCAGAAGCAAGGCAGUUUCAAACAGCUGUAAUCAUAGAAUCAUGUAAUAACCUGAGUCGGAAGGAACAUAUAAGGAUCACUGAGUCCAACUCCUGGAGUCCAUCAAGUCCAAAUCCCAGACAAGAGCUGCAGAUAUCAAAAAAUCCCCCCUAGCUUCCCUAAUGCUGCUUUAGUCAUGGGAUAUAUAGCAAAAGAGUGAAAGAACAUGGGGAAAGCUCAGUGAGGAGCCAGAUUCAAGGAUCCUGCCUACUAGGUUGUUUUGAAUUUGGUUUCUGAAGAAAGUUACAAGGAAAUAGUUCUAGCAGGGGUUAUUUAAUCUUCACUUAGACUUUACUUGUCUUGCUGAGGAAGCAGAACAAGGAUGAAGUCCUACUGAGACCACCUAGAAAUAGUUGAGUUUCAGCAAAAAAGCCUAAACUGCUUCAGGUCUGUGUUCUGUUGUAUUUUGUUUGUUUGUUUGUUUUUGAAUGAUAACCAUAAAUGCUAAAAGUAGGGGAAAUCUGUGUUCAGAGAGAACAUCUUCAUUGCACUGAGGGAAAUUUCUUCAAUAUCACGUUUCAUUUUUUCUGCAUAGGCAGGAGGGGUGAGGCUCAAUACACCACCCUUAUAGCAAGUGAAUACCCCUGGUCCUUGCUAGUGUUUGUAAGAAAUAAUAGCAUGUGGUAUCCCUUAGGAUCUCCUCAGCAUCUCUCACUUAUUCACCCUACAGAAGCAAGAGCAGGAAAAUCAAGGUCACCCUGUUCAAGACCUCUAUUCAGUGUUCUAAGAUGGUUUGAAAUAAUUCAGUGUCUGGAAAACAUCUUCCUACAUUAAAGUUCCUGACAUUAUCUUGGCUUUUGUUUCUUUGUUUGUUUUUGUUUUUGUUUUUGUUUCAUUUUCUUUAUUUUCUGAUGAUGGAAAGAGCUGGAUUGCUUGUUUUCUGUCUGUCAGAAGUUCCUUCUGUUUCCACGCUCUGCUAGAUAAUAACCUCCUUAAUGCAGUCUGUAAUACAUCCUUAAUACGGCUGUAAAACUGAAGAGUGGAAAAAGUGUCAACAAUAAAAAUUUCCAAAAUUCACUGUAAAUAACCCAUGAAUGUAUUCCUGCACCCCCACAGUCCAAAAUUUUUGCCUAUAAGACAUCAUCUGCACACACAGACUUUUUGCCAAGAGGCAGCACAGGUCCAGGUGGAGGUUUUCUCCCUAAAACUGCCUGCUAAUAAGCUGCCUUCCUUCCCAAGUAAUGGUAACAUCGAAGACAAAUUGUCUUUGGCUUUUGAAAUUAAAAGGAACUAUUUAAAAACAGAAGUGCUGUUCCAAAGCAUUUGAAAGAUUUCAUGAAGCAAAUGUGUUUUGUUGCAUGUUGUUCAAAUUAUCAAACUCCUGCUCCAAAAUGCCAAAACAGCAAAGUCAUUUUCAUUGUCAGAUUGCAAAAUGCAAACAACUUUCUCUUUUCCUUGCUGAGGGGCCUAUUUUGCCAGCACUCUUCAGUAUGAAUGGAUUAAUUCAUUCCUCCACAAGUGAAGUUCACGCACAGGCUGAGUAACAGAUAAUUGCCAACAUACAAGUGAGCUCUACCCUGAACUUCUGAAUUAAAUAAUUUGUAGGGUAUGCAGAGAGGCAAACAUUGCCAUCGUUGCAAGAAUUCUACUGAAAUUGUAUUAUUUUAUCCUCUAAGCAUUUGUCUCUACAGCUACCUUUCCAUGAACACGCAUACAUGACAGUAAAAAUUAAGAGGUGCCAAUAGCCUUAGAAGAUUCUGGCUUCUAGGCUGACAAAGAUAAAGGAACCCAAUACUAAAGCAGCUGUUUCAUUAUAUGAUAUUACUUCGUUGCAUGCAUUGCUUGAACAACUAAGAUUUGAAAAUUUUCAAGCAAUAUGUUAUCUGUACUUCCAUAAGAAGAAAAAUAUUAACUCCAGGUUUUGCACCACAGACUGGAAAUUUCAACGUGGGUCUGCAAGCAGGACUCUUUAAUCUCAGAGGACAACUCUACUUGCUGAGUAGCUCUGAAAAUUCUGACUGCUACUACUGUUCAUCUUGAAGACUGUACAACUCUGAUCACCAAUGUGAUUUAUACAGGAAUGAGGUCUUCAACUGAAUACCUAACUUCUGUAGACCACACUUUUGAAUGUAUAAAUGUUCAGUGCAGAACACACCAUAAACCUCUUCUUCAGCUGAGAGCAGCCCUAUCAUUAGCCUGUCAAGACUAACAGUCGGAUUUGUAAAGACAUUUAAUAGUCAAUUAGCAAAAGAUACUGUUCUCAAAAGGUUCCGGGUGCCCAAUUUCUCUUAAAUCGGUGGAAAGGAUCAUGGGUGAGGUGGAAAAGGUAUAGAUGUUGAAACAGACUUCUAAAGGUGCCAUGGGUGCCUACCCAAACACUUGCAUGCAGGAAUUAGGCACUCAGACACAACUGAAACUACUGUUUGAUGGCUAAAUCAGCCCAAGCCCCAGGGAAAGUAUUUGCGUAUCUCCUUUCAUUUCUGCAUUUAGAGAUCUUUAAUGGGAGCAGUAGUCAUCAUUUUUUUAAAACAAAUUUUAAUUUUAUAGGAAAAAAGUUAUUACUUUUCUUUUUGUUUAUCUGCUUUUUCACUCCUGGUAAGAAACUUGCAUUUAAAAUUUCAAUGAAGAUGGUUUAAGAUGAUGGUUAGGCAGGUUUGUUUGGAUUCCGACUGAGAAGCUGGCAUUGUUAUUUAGUGAGUGCAGCUCAGUGAAAUUAAUAGUUUGAAACAUUACACUGAGGAUAAUGCAGAAAGAGAAUAGAAAACAUCAUCUACCAUAUGAAAACUGUAUCUUAUUUCUUUAAACUCUUUCUGUUUUAAUUAAAUCAGAGAUUAUUGCUUGUAUAUAAGAAACUUCAUUUUUGAAUAUGUGUUUUCUACUGAAGCUGUUGUUUUCUUAGGAAAUCAACAGCACUAAAAGUUUUUAUUUAAUUCUAGCAAACAAGAAUGAAUGCAUUGCCAAUGAUGUUUGUGUCACUUGCUCCACUUUAAUAUCUGCCUGUAGGUACUCUGACUGAACAAGCCAGAAAGGUAUAAUUGUGUAAUGCUAUUUCAGUUUUUACGAAUGAUGAGAAAAAAAAUCAGAGCAAGAAACAGAGAUCUACAAAAGUCCUUCGAAUUGACUCUAAACGAAAUUCUGUUUAGGUCCACAUACUUCUACUGGUAGUGCAUACGAGACGUAUGAUAAGAUAAUGAUAAUAAUGUCAAUUCUCUCUUUCUUAGGCAGGGAAUAAGAUUACAUAGACUUUGUUACUACAGAGGCCUAUCACUGCUGCAAAAGCCUGCACUGUGAAUGAAAUGGUAUUUGCCUGUUUAUGUGAAGAAUGAUGAAACUUUAAAUGAAUCAUUGACCUUUCUUGAAUGACAUGUGACCUGUAAGAUAUCUGAGCUGUAUAUCAAGAGCAGUUCUUGAAAAUUGCUGUCUGCUGACCGAAAAUAAACAAUAAGAUAUCAAAUAUGGUUUGAAAAAAAUUGACUUGGUUUAACACUGGGGGGAAAAAAAUGAAUUAUUUUGACUCACCAGUCAGAACACAUCAAUUCAUUUCAAAUCAUCCUUCAUCUAGAAACUGGAAGGGCUACUUCUUGGCUUUAAAGCUGCUUAUGUCUGAGCAAUUGCUAUUUACCAGAAUGCAUGCUUUAUUUAAACAAUAACCAGCAGUAAUAAAGAAGCUGUAAAUGCAGGAAUUGUUGGGAUGAGAUGGAUUCUGCAAAAAGAGUG